CGGGAAACCGGAGCUAAUACCGAUAAUAUUUCGAACCGCAUGGUUCGAUAGUGAAAGAUGGUUUUGCUAUCACUUAUAGAUGGACCCGCGCCGUAUUAGCUAGUUGGUAAGGUAACGGCUUACCAAGGCGACGAUACGUAGCCGACCUGAGAGGGUGAUCGGCCACACUGGAACUGAGACACGGUCCAGACUCCUACGGGAGGCAGCAGUU
rnacentral:rRNA from 1 species